UUGCGACAUAAAUUUUGUAACACCUUUUAGGGAAUAAUGCAGUUUAGCUGCAUGUAAAGGUGCAAAAAACUUAAACAAACGGACAGACAGCAGUAACACACAUACAUAUUAAAAGUAUCACGUGAACACUUCGUGAAUCCACUUACGAUGAUUAAUUUCUUGACUGGUUUCCCCAACGUAGGGUAGUCACAUGAUCAUCAGGUCAUAGCUGCUUGUAAAGGUGCAAACCAAUUGAACAAAUUUAGGUUGCAUAACGCACACUGUUUAGGGGAUAGUUCAGUUUAGCUGCUUGUUAAGGUUCAAAACAAUUAAACAAGUAAGUUUUUUUUAUUUGGUUGUGUGUAAAUAUCUUGUUCUUUUAUCAGCAAUAAUAUGGUCCAUAACUUUAGUUCAAAUGUAGGCAUUUUUACUCUCUCUCUUCCUCACUAUUUAAUAAGCAUUUUACUUCAAUUUAACUAAUUAUUAAGUAACACUCAAAGCAAUUCAUAUUACGCCUAAAACUAUUGGAAUCUUUCCUUAAAAUUCAAUACCUUUUAUCUCUUAAUUUGUUUUCUAUAACACAUGUUCAUAACAUGAUCAUUGUAUCUUAUUCUUUAACUGUGAGUAGUAUGAUUGUGUAUACUAUGUAAUCAAACAUGUAGAUAUCGCUUAUGCAUGUACAUUCACAUCUACAAACUCUCUCUCUCUCUCUCUCUCUCUCUCUCUCUCUCUCUCUCUCUCUCUCUCUCUCUCUCUCUCUCUCUCUCUCUGAACUUGAAGGGUUUUUGAUAUAAACAUUUUCUUUGUAUACGUCCUUGUCAAAAUGGCGGCUUAAUAAAACCAUCCUGUUAAAUGAAAUACUUUUAAGCGUUUAAUUUUAGAUGGAUGACUGUUUACGUGUGUGUUCUGUUUUAGAAAAACAAAUAGUAUUUAUAUCUAUGCAGCCUGUAUGAUCCAGGGAUCAUGAAGGCACCAAUUAACAUUGCAGCAUAGGUUAUAUAUCUGCACACGGGCUUCAUUUUAUAUUUUGCUGAAAUAUACUUCCCUGAUCAGGAAAUGAAAACUCAUUGAAAAGGUCAUUGUUUUGAGGCAGGCUAGACUGCAGGCUCUGUUAUAAGGUGAACUGCAUCAGUUGAGUGUUAAUAAAUAUUCGGUGCAAGAUGAAGAGUAAUUAUACUGCGUACAUGUAAAUGGUAAAUAAGGAACUUUAAGUGACCCCCUUUAACAAAAAAUAUUUGGCAUUGCUAUCU